ACGGGUAUUCUUGGGUAGAUAAUA
rnacentral:miRNA from 1 species